rnacentral:rRNA from 1 species
UACGGAGGGUGCGAGCGUUGUCCGGAAUCACUGGGCGUAAAGGGCGCGUAGGCGGCAUGCCAAGCGUGUGGUGAAAGCCCGGGGCUCAACCCCGGGUCGGCCGUGCGGACUGGCGUGCUCGAGCACUGUAGGGACGGGUGGAAUUCCGGGUGUAGCGGUGGAAUGCGUAGAGAUCCGGAAGAACACCGGUGGCGAAGGCGGCCUGCUGGGCAGUAGCUGACGCUGAGGCGCGACAGCGUGGGGAGCAAACAGG